AGCAGCCGCGGUAAUUCCAGCUCCAAUAGCGUAUAUUAAAGUUGUUGCAGUUAAAAGCUCGUAGUUGAAUUUCGGGGUCUGUCCGUCGGUCGGGCUUCACGGUCCGUACUGGUGUGAUGGGUUCCUACCUUCUGAAUAACCGGCAUGCCAUUCAGUUGGUGCGCCGGGGAAGCAGAGCUAUUACCUUGAAAAAUUGAGUGCUUAAAGCAGGCUAGUGCUUGAAUAGAUUAGCAUGGAAUAAUAAAAUAGGACGGCAUGGUUCUAUUUUGUUGGUUUCUAGGAUCACCGUAAUGAUUAAUAGGGAUAGUUGGGGGCAUUAGUAUUCAAUUGUCAGAGGUGAAAUUCUUGGAUUUAUUGAAGACUAACUUCUGCGAAAGCAUUUGCCAAGGAUGUUUCAUUAAUCAAGAACGAAAGUUAGGGAUACGAAGACGAUCAGAUACCGUCGUAGUCUUAACCAUAAACUAUAGCCGACUAGGGAUCGGACGAUGUUAAUUUUUAAUGACUCGUUCGGCGUCCGUUA
rnacentral:misc_RNA from 1 species